rnacentral:rRNA from 1 species
GACGAACGCUGGCGGCGUGCUUAACACAUGCAAGUCGAACGGAAAGGCCCUGCUUUUGUGGGGUGCUCGAGUGGCGAAAGGGUGAGUAACACGUGAGUAACCUGCCCUUGACUUUGGGAUAACUUCAGGAAACUGGGGCUAAUACCGGAUAGGAGCUCCUGCUGCAUGGUGGGGGUUGGAAAGUUUCGGCGGUUGGGGAUGGACUCGCGGCUUAUCAGCUUGUUGGUGGGGUAGUGGCUUACCAAGGCUUUGACGGGUAGCCGGCCUGGGAGGGUGACCGGCCACAUUGGGACUGGGAUGCGGCCCAGACUCCUACGGGAGGCAGCAGUGGGGAAUUUUGCACAAUGGGCGGAAGCCGGAUGCAGCAACGCCGCGUGCGGGAUGACGGCCUUCGGGUUGUAAACCGCUUUCGCCUGUGACGAAGCGUGAGUGACGGUAAUGGGUAAAGAAGCACCGGCUAACUACGUG